AGUGAACGCUGGCGGUAGGCCUAACACAUGCAAGUCGAACGGCAGCACAGUAAGAGCUUGCUCUUACGGGUGGCGAGUGGCGGACGGGUGAGGAAUACAUCGGAAUUUACUUUUUCGUGGGGGAUAACGUAGGGAAACUUACGCUAAUACCGCAUACGACCUACGGGUGAAAGCAGGGGAUCUUCGGACCUUGCGCGAUUGAACGAGCCGAUGUCGGAUUAGCUAGUUGGCGGGGUAAAGGCCCACCAAGGCGACGAUCCGUAGCUGGUCUGAGAGGAUGAUCAGCCACACUGGAACUGAGACACGGUCCAGACUCCUACGGGAGGCAGCAGUGGGGAAUAUUGGACAAUGGGCGCAAGCCUGAUCCAGCCAUACCGCGUGGGUGAAGAAGGCCUUCGGGUUGUAAAGCCCUUUUGUUGGGAAAGAAAAGCAGCAGGUUAAUACCCCGCUGUUCUGACGGUACCCAAAGAAUAAGCACCGGCUAACUUCGUG
rnacentral:rRNA from 1 species